UUUUCCGCCAUCUAGUGGUGAGUAAGUUGUUUGCACUGUAGCUGCGCGUGGUGUAUAUGAGUAGCAUUAUUCAAUUUGGAAUGUAAUAUGCAAAAUGACAAUGCAAUAUGUAAAAUGGCAAUGCAUUUCUGUAUUUACAUGACAACUGUCUUGUCCAUGUUCUCUCACUUGAAUCCUCACGAAUCUUGAACCUUCUGCCCUGCCUUGUUCACGCAGUGAUUGACGUGGCGCGAGGGGGCGGACACGUGAUCGGCUCGAAAUGCAUUUUCAAUGUGCACAUUGAAUUUUGCUACAUUCAUUGCGGGCAGGGGCGGAUCAACCGGGCUGGCAGCCUUAAAGAAAGCCUUGCCACCCCUGCUGCCACCCCAGUUGGCAGCAACGAAUUAAAGUUUAUGGCCAAUUAAAAAAUUUACGAGCACGAAUCUUUCGUGAUUCGUGAUUCGUGAUCCCGCUCCAAACUCCCAAACUGACUCAAAUGAUUCGCGAACCCGCUCCGAACUCCCGAACUGAUUCAAAUGAUUCGCGAUCCCCAAACCGACUCAAAUGAUUUGCGAUCCGCGAACUGAUUCAAAUGAUUCGCGAUCCCCAAACUGACUCAAAUGAUUCGCGAACCCGCUUUGAACUCCCGAACUGACUCAAAUGAUUCGCGAUCCCCAAACUGACUCAAAUGAUUCGCAAACCCGCUUUGAACUCCCGAACUGACUCAAAUGAUUUGCGAUCCCCAAACUGACUCAAAUGAUUCGCGAACCCGCUUUGAACUCCCGAACUGACUCAAAUGAUUCGCGAUCCCCAAACUGACUCAAAUGAUUCGCGAACCCGCUCCGAACUCCCGAACUGAUUCAAAUGAUUCGCGAUCCCCAAACUGACUCAAAUGAUUCGCAAACCCGCUUUGAACUCCCGAACUGACUCAAAUGAUUCGCGAUCCCCAAACUGACUCAAAUGAUUCGCAAACCCGCUUUGAACUCCCGAACUGACUCAAAUGAUUCGCGAUCCCCAAACUGACUCAAAUGAUUCGCGAACCCGCUCCGAACUCCCAAACCGACUCAAAUAAUUUGUGAUCCCGCUCAGAACUCCCAAACUCACUCAAAUUAUUUGCGAACCAGCUUUGAACUCUAUUCCUAUAUAAAUGACAUUGAUUGCAUGAGAUUAAGUUUGUAAAUGAUAGCCUGUGUCCUUUUGUAGUGUGCACAUAUAUUUAUCAUCAAACUGUGAUAACUGUGACUAAAUUAAGUAUAUGUCUACCAUAUGUUGCCACCCCUCAAAAAUUCCUGCCCCCUUCUCUUCACCCCAUCAAUAUUUUUCUAGAUCCGCCUCUGAUUGCGGGACACUGAAUGAAAAUGCAAUCGUAAGUGUCUUGACUGUGAAUGUUAAUGCAAUUAAGAAAAAUAGCAUUUGAAUGAUAAUUUUGCCACAGUUUUUGCUUGAACAUAUUAUACAAAUCUAAUCAUUUCUGUAAUACAUUUUCAUUUUAAUUUUGCAACUUAUAAAGCAUUAAAAUUAGUAUUCAUUUCACAUAUUAAAACUAGUGUAUGAAAUGGCAAAUCAAAAUGAUGUAAUUUCAUUUUUAUUUUCACUUUGCUCAAAACGUUGCACAAAUGUAUUGGAAAAUGUAAAUGUAAAUACAGAAAUGCAUUGCUAUUUUACAUAUUGCAUUCCAAAUUGAAUAUUGCUACCCAUAUGCUUCCAUAGUUUUUAUAUUUAUAUAUUACCACAGUACAGUGAAUCAAUACAGCUCUAGAGCUACAGAAAUGGUGAUUUGAUGUGUUUGCUGUAGACUGUAGUUCCAGCAGAAGUCAUGGAGCAGCCAGUGGGUGGCGCUGUUCGAAUCUCGCUCUGAAAGUGUUCAUGGACGUGUGUUAGGAGUCGUGCAGAGACUCACCUGCUUGAUCUUCCAGUCUUGUGAAGAUGACUUUACGAAUGAGCCAGAAAUAAUAUCAACUGCACUUUUAAAGAGCGUCAGAUCUCUGUGGCCUUCAGGACGAGAGAAAAUCACAGGACAGAAACGCACACUGAUGGAGCCGUAGAGAACCGUAUUCACAGAAGCUCUCCAGGCAGGACGUUAUUCCUGAAUCCCCUUGAUUAUGAGGCGGAGGGAUUUGUUCCUGAUUCUCUGUGACUCGGAGACCAGUGUUCAUCUCCGUCUGGGUGAAAUGAAGUGGGAUUUUCAUACAAGCGCCGUUUAAUAAUUACUGUGAGUGAGGCAAGCAGGAAAACGCUGAACAAAUAUGUGAUUUGAUGUGAAACAAUGCAGAAAUUAACCUUAGCAGCAGCAGGAGGCCAGUGCAAACACACCGUACUGAUACUGAUGUCAAAACUUUGAAAUAUUUAUAUGAUAUGAAUUUGCUUGUGUUAUUUAUGUUAAAGGAAUAGUGGAAACUUACUCAGAGUGCUCUCACCCUCAAGCGAUCCGAGGUUAGGAUGAGAAAUGCAUUCAUGAUAUAACAUUGCAUCAGUGUCUCAUCAAGGGAUGCUCUGCAGUGAAUGGGUGCCGUCAGAAUGAGAGUCUGAUAAAAACAUCACAAUAAUCCACAGCACUCCAGUCCAUCAGUGAACAUCUGGAGAAGACAAAAGAUGAAACUUUAAUCCAGCAUUAAGAUGUUUUAGGACUGUUUAAACGCUGCUUGAUCUGUGCAGAUUUCUCUCCUGAUUCAAGACCCGAACUGCAAAUCCUCACAACACAUGCAUGUAACGAAACGCGCUGCAAAUCCUCACAACACAAGCAUGUAACGAAACGCGCUGCAAAUCCUCACAACACAAGCAUAUAACGAAACGCGCUGCAAAUCAUCACAACACAAGCAUAUAACGAAACGCGCUGCAAAUCCUCACAACACAAGCAUGUAACGAAACGCGCUGCAAAUCCUCACAACACAUGCAUGUAACGAAACGCGCUGCAAAUCCUCACAACACAAGCAUGUAACGAAACGCGCUGCAAAUCCUCACAACACAAGCAUGUAACGAAACGCGCUGCAAAUCCUCACAACACAAGCAUGUAACGAAACGCGCUGCAAAUCCUCACAACACAUGCAUGUAACGAAACGCGCUGCAAAUCCUCACAACACAUGCAUGUAACGAAACGCGCUGCAAAUCCUCACAACACAUGCAUGUAACGAAACGUGCUGCAAAUCCUAACAACACAUGCAUGUAACGAAACGCGCUGCAAAUCAUCACAACACAUGCAUAUAACAAAACGCGCUGCAAAUCCUCACAACACAUGCAUGUAACGAAACGCGCUGCAAAUCCUCACAACACAAGCAUGUAACGAAACGCGCUGCAAAUCCUCACAACACAUGCAUGUAACGAAACGCGCUGCAAAUCCUCACAACACAUGCAUGUAACGAAACGCGCUGCAAAUCCUCACAACACAUGCAUGUAACGAAACGCGCUGCAAAUCCUCACAACACAUGCAUGUAACGAAACGCGCUGCAAAUCCUCACAACACAUGCAUGUAACGAAACGCGCUGCAAAUCCUCACAACACAUGCAUGUAACGAAACGCGCUGCAAAUCCUCACAACACAUGCAUGUAACGAAACGCGCUGCAAAUCCUCACAACACAUGCAUGUAACGAAACGCGCUGCAAAUCCUCACAACACAAGCAUGUAACGAAACGCGCUGCAAAUCAUCACAACACAUGCAUGUAACGAAACGCGCUGCAAAUCCUCACAACACAUGCAUGUAACGAAACGCGCUGCAAAUCCUCACAACACAUGCAUGUAACGAAACGUGCUGCAAAUCCUCACAACACAAGCAUGUAACGAAACGCGCUGCAAAUCCUCACAACACAUGCAUGUAACGAAACGCGCUGCAAAUCCUCACAACACAUGCAUGUAACGAAACGCGCUGCAAAUCCUCACAACACAUGCAUGUAACGAAACGCGCUGCAAAUCCUCACAACACAUGCAUGUAACGAAACGCGCUGCAAAUCCUCACAACACAUGCAUGUAACGAAACGCGCUGCAAAUCAUCACAACACAUGCAUGUAACGAAACGCGCUGCAAAUCCUCACAACACAUGCAUGUAACGAAACGCGCUGCAAAUCCUCACAACACAUGCAUGUAACGAAACGCGCUGCAAAUCCUCACAACACAUGCAUGUAACGAAACGCGCUGCAAAUCCUCACAACACAUGCAUGUAACGAAACGCGCUGCAAAUCAUCACAACACAUGCAUAUAACGAAACGCACUGCAAAUCCUCACAACACAUGCAUAUAACGAAACGCGCUGCAAAUCCUCACAACACAUGCAUAUAACAAAACGCGCUGCAAAUCCUCACAACACAUGCAUGUAACGAAACGCGCUGCAAAUCCUCACAACACAUGCAUGUAACGAAACGCGCUGCAAAUCAUCACAACACAUGCAUAUAACAAAACGCGCUGCAAAUCCUCACAACACAUGCAUGUAACGAAACGCGCUGCAAAUCCUCACAACACAAGCAUGUAACGAAACGCGCUGCAAAUCCUCACAACACAUGCAUGUAACGAAACGCGCUGCAAAUCCUCACAACACAUGCAUGUAACGAAACGCGCUGCAAAUCCUCACAACACAUGCAUGUAACGAAACGCGCUGCAAAUCCUCACAACACAUGCAUAUAACGAAACGCGCUGCAAAUCCUCACAACACAUGCAUGUAACGAAACGCGCUGCAAAUCCUCACAACACAUGCAUGUAACGAAACGCGCUGCAAAUCCUCACAACACAAGCAUGUAACGAAACGCGCUGCAAAUCCUCACAACACAUGCAUGUAACGAAACGCGCUGCAAAUCCUCACAACACAUGCAUGUAACGAAACGCGCUGCAAAUCCUCACAACACAUGCAUGUAACGAAACGCGCUGCAAAUCCUCACAACACAUGCAUGUAACGAAACGCGCUGCAAAUCCUCACAACACAUGCAUGUAACGAAACGCGCUGCAAAUCCUCACAACACAUGCAUAUAACGAAACGCGCUGCAAAUCCUCACAACACAUGCAUGUAACGAAACGCGCUGCAAAUCAUCACAACACAUGCAUGUAACGAAACGCGCUGCAAAUCCUCACAACACAUGCAUGUAACGAAACGAGCUGCAAAUCAUCACAACACAUGCAUGUAACGAAACGCGCUACAAAUCCUCACAACACAUGCAUGUAACGAAACGCGCUACAAAUCCUCACAACACAUGCAUGUAACGAAACGAGCUGCAAAUCAUCACAACACAUGCAUGUAACGAAACGCGCAGCAAAUCCUCACAACACAUGCAUAUAACGAAACGCGCUGCAAAUCAUCACAACACAUGCAUGUAACGAAACGCGCUGCAAAUCAUCACAACACAUGCAUAUAACGAAACGCGCUGCAAAUCAUCACAACACAUGCAUAUAACACUUAUAAUAUUAAAAAAUAAAAUAAAAUAAAAACCUCACCUUUCAGUUCACCAACAACUCCACUGACCAGUAGCCAUUGCACGAUAAGCAAAUCCAAGCCAGGUCAGACACUUUCUGUGGUUUCCUCGUGCAGUGCUUUUGUUAAUUGCAUGUGUUGUAAGGAUUUGCAGCACUUGUGUUGUCAAACUGAUGAAGAUGGUUUUUUUUUUUUUUUUUUGCUGGUGUUUUUCAAAUUUGCAUGUGUUUUCUUAAAUUGCAGCACGUUGAGCUUUCUCUGCCACCGUACAUAUCCUCUCAAAGGAACAGUUUGUACAAAAAUGCACUUUUGAAGAAAAUGUGCUCAUCCUCAGGCCAUCCAAGAAUAGGAUGAGUUUGUUUCUUCAUCAGAUUUGGAGAAAUGUAGCUUUUAUCCUACAAAAUCGUUCAACAUUUGGGAAAAAUGUUGAAAAAAAAAAACAUUAAAUUUUUUAUUUUUUUGCACUUGGCCUAUGGUCUACUUCAGAGAAAUAUUACUUUAACUUCAUGCAUUGGAUGAGGUUCGACUUUGUUUAUUUUGGAUAAUUUCUCUGCAUCUGUCUCUGAUGUGAUUUGUUCAAAAUCACAAUGCACCCCAGUAUAAGAAAGCAUGCUAUUGUUAUGAGAAAUAAAAAAAGACAAAAUGCAACACAAAGACGGAAAGGAAAACAGUUGAAUUAUUACUAUUAUUUUUUUUUUUUUUUACUAUUUUAACCAGACAUUGCUAAACAAAAGAAUGUUGUUUUCACUCCGCAGGGACAAGAAAACAAAAGCAUCGACUCUAACAAGCCUGUAAUUUUUCUCCUUCGAAGCUGAUUUCUGAAGAGCUGUUGUGUCACACAUUGUCUGUGCGUGUUUCGCCGUAUCAGAACAAAACACAUCAUCGAGUCUCGAAUCCCCGCAUGAGUUUGCCAGGCUUUUAUUUGUGCGGCAGCGAUUGACAGGCCGUCUUCAGGACUUGGCAGCGAUGCUCGGGCGAGGAGGAGGCGACUCGAGGCGUUUUCCCAUCACACCUUUACAUUAGAUGACAGGCAAAAAAGCCUGUCAGAUUGCAACCCUCCCACAUGGAGCAAAAAGUGCUGAAUUAAAGCAGUGUUGAGACGGGGGGCAUUGACGGACGGGGCUCGCUGUCUCUCUCUCUCUCUCAUCCCCAAAUCAAUCUGAUCUGAUGCUGAGAUGGGUUUGCAGCUCACUAUUGAAUCCAGAGGUCAGCGCCGGUCCAGUGGAUAAGUCCCUUAUCAUAUCUGCCCAAGGACUUCACUGUGACCUUCACACACACUCACACAAGAGCAGAUGGCUUUAAACUCCACUGUAUGUCAGACUCUCUGUGCCUCCUGUGUGUUUUGUUGGACAGUGAAAUCCUCUGGCUGUCAGUUUUGUGUUGUGAAAGCGUAUUCAGCAUGUGUUGCAUUGCAAUGGACUGCAUCAGAGUUAUUCUCAGGAUCGGGUGUGUUUCAAAUAUUUAUCAAGAUACUGAAUCAGGGUUAUUAUAGUAGCCUAAAACUAAAACCUUAACUUAAAACUUAAAAUAAUAAUAAAUCUUUUAUUUCAUGGAAUUGCCAAAGCAAUGUUUCUGAUUUUCACUUUUUUUUAAAUAAUGA